GCCGGGGUGGCUGAGUGGACAAAAGCGCAGGCCUUGAGAGCCUGUGGGCCCUAGGGGCCCUCAAGGGUUCAAAUCCCUUCCCCGGCG
rnacentral:tRNA from 1 species